UACAGAGGCCCCAAGCGUUGUCCGGAAUCACUGGGCGUAAAGGGUGUGUAGGCGGUUUUGUUAGUCUCCCGUUAAAGACUCCGACCCAAUCGGAGGAAUGCGGGGGAAACGGCAAAACUUGAGGGUGCGAGAGGUAUAUGGAACUCAUGGAGUAGGGGUGAAAUCCGUUGAUAUCAUGGGGAACACCAAAAGCGAAGGCAAUAUACUGGCGCAUUCCUGACGCUGAAACACGAAAGCGUAGGUAG
rnacentral:rRNA from 1 species